rnacentral:rRNA from 1 species
UACAGGGGGUGCAAACGUUGCUCGGAAUCAUUGGGCGUAAAGCGCACGUAGGCGGUCUGUUAUGUCGGAUGUGAAAGCCCUUGGCUCAACUGAGGAAGUGCAUCCGAAACUGGCAGGCUAGAGUACUAAAGAGGAUCGCGGAAUUCCCGGUGUAGAGGUGAAAUUCGUAGAUAUCGGGAAGAACACCCGUGGCGAAGGCGGCACUCUGGGACGGUACUGACGCUGAGACGCGAAAGCGUGGGGAGCGAACAGG